UACGGAGGGUGCGAGCGUUGUCCGGAAUCAUUGGGCGUAAAGGGCGCGUAGGUGGCCCGGUCAGUCGAUGGUGAAAGCGCGGGGCUCAACUCCGCGUCGGCCGUCGAUACUGCUGGGCUUGAGCACUGUAGAGGCAGGCGGAAUUCCUGGUGUAGCGGUGAAAUGCGCAGAUAUCAGGAGGAACACCGGUGGCGAAGGCGGGUCUCUGGGCCGAUACUGACGCUGAGGAGCGAAAGCGUGGGGAGCAAACAGG
rnacentral:rRNA from 1 species